rnacentral:rRNA from 1 species
AGUGAACGCUGGCGGUAGGCCUAACACAUGCAAGUCGAACGGCAGCACAGUAAGAGCUUGCUCUUACGGGUGGCGAGUGGCGGACGGGUGAGGAAUACAUCGGAAUCUACUUUUUCGUGGGGGAUAACGUAGGGAAACUUACGCUAAUACCGCAUACGACCUACGGGUGAAAGCAGGGGAUCUUCGGACCUUGCGCGAUUGAAUGAGCCGAUGUCGGAUUAGCCAGUUGGCGGGGUAAAGGCCCACCAAGGCGACGAUCCGUAGCUGGUCUGAGAGGAUGAUCAGCCACACUGGAACUGAGACACGGUCCAGACUCCUACGGAGGCAGCAGUGGGGAAUAUUGGACAAUGGGCGCAAGCCUGAUCCAGCCAUACCGCGUGGGUGAAGAAGGCCUUCGGGUUGUAAAGCCCUUUUGUUGGGAAAGAAAAGCAGCAGGUUAAUACCCCGCUGUUCUGACGGUACCCAAAGAAUAAGCACCGGCUAACUUCGUG